rnacentral:rRNA from 1 species
CAUGGGGGAACCCUGAUGCAGCGACGCCGCGUGGAGGAAGAAGGUCUUCCGAUUGUAAACUCCUGUUGUUGGGGAAGAUAAUGACGGUACCCAACAAGGAAGUGACGGCUAACUACGUGCCAGCAGCCGCGGUAAAACGUAGGUCACAAGCGUUGUCCGGAAUUACUGGGUGUAAAGGGAGCGCAGGCGGGAAGACAAGUUGGAAGUGAAAUCUAUGGGCUCAACCCAUAAACUGCUUUCAAAACUGUUUUUCUUGAGUAGUGCAGAGGUAGGCGGAAUUCCCGGUGUAGCGGUGGAAUGCGUAGAUAUCGGGAGGAACACCAGUGGCGAAGGCGGCCUACUGGGCACCAACUGACGCUGAGGCUCGAAAGUGUGGGUAGCAAACAGGAUUAGAUACCCUGGUAGUCCAAGGGCGAAUUC